rnacentral:rRNA from 1 species
GACGAACGCUGGCGGCGUGCUUAACACAUGCAAGUCGAACGGAAAGGCCCUGCUUUUGUGGGGUGCUCGAGUGGCGAACGGGUGAGUAACACGUGAGUAACCUGCCCUUGACUUUGGGAUAACUUCAGGAAACUGGGGCUAAUACCGGAUAGGAGCUCCUGCUGCAUGGUGGGGGUUGGAAAGUUUCGGCGGUUGGGGAUGGACUCGCGGCUUAUCAGCUUGUUGGUGGGGUAGUGGCUUACCAAGGCUUUGACGGGUAGCCGGCCUGAGAGGGUGACCGGCCACAUUGGGACUGAGAUACGGCCCAGACUCCUACGGGAGGCAGCAGUGGGGAAUAUUGCACAAUGGGCGGAAGCCUGAUGCAGCAACGCCGCGUGCGGGAUGACGGCCCUCGGGUUGUAAACCGCUUUCGCCUGUGACGAAGCGUGAGUGACGGUAAUGGGUAAAGAAGCACCGGCUAACUACGUGCCAGCAGCCGCGGUGAUACGUAGGGUGCGAGCGUUGUCCGGAUUUAUUGGGCGUAAAGGGCUCGUAGGUGGUUGAUCGCGUCGGAAGUGUAAUCUUGGGGCUUAACCCUGAGCGUGCUUUCGAUACGGGUUGACUUGAGGAAGGUAGGGGAGAAUGGAAUUCCUGGUGGAGCGGUGGAAUGCGCAGAUAUCAGGAGGAACACCAGUGGCGAAGGCGGUUCUCUGGGCCUUUCCUGACGCUGAGGAGCGAAAGCGUGGGGAGCGAACAGGCUUAGAUACCCUGGUAGUCCACGCUGUAAACGGUGGGUACUAGGUGUGGGGUCCAUUCCACGGGUUCCGUGCCGUAGCUAACGCUUUAAGUACCCCGCCUGGGGAGUACGGCCGCAAGGCUAAAACUCAAAGGAAUCGACGGGGCCCCGCACAAGCGGCGGAGCAUGCGGAUUAAUUCGAUGCAACGCGUAGAACCUUACCUGGGUUUGACAUGGAUCGGGAGCGCUCAGAGAUGGGUGUGCCUCUUUUGGGGUCGGUUCACAGGUGGUGCAUGGCUGUCGUCAGCUCGUGUCGUGAGAUGUUGGGUUAAGUCCCGCAACGAGCGCAACCCUUGUUCACUGUUGCCAGCACGUUAUGGUGGGGACUCAGUGGAGACCGCCGGGGUCAACUCGGAGGAAGGUGGGGAUGACGUCAAGUCAUCAUGCCCCUUAUGUCCAGGGCUUCACGCAUGCUACAAUGGCUGGUACAGAGAGUGGCGAGCCUGUGAGGGUGAGCGAAUCUCGGAAAGCCGGUCUCAGUUCGGAUUGGGGUCUGCAACUCGACCUCAUGAAGUCGGAGUCGCUAGUAAUCGCAGAUCAGCAACGCUGCGGUGAAUACGUUCCCGGG